rnacentral:lncRNA from 1 species
AGAAUUUUAAGAAGUCCACAGUCUUUAUGUAAUUGCUGUGACUGAAAGAUGCCUCAUUUGUCUCAGUUAACCAUGAGGUGAUUGUAGAAGAGAUGAGCAGAAAGGUGGUUGACUGAGAAAAUAGAGGUUGUAGUAAUCACAUUGAGGAUUGUAUUUGUACUGUCAGAGACAGCUGCCAGGUUCUGAAAUCUUCCUCACUAUUUGCUUUGCACAUAGAAAUCCCAGU